rnacentral:rRNA from 1 species
GACGAACGCUGGCGGCGUGCUUAACACAUGCAAGUCGAACGAAGUGGCGAACGGGUGAGUAACGCGUAAUCAACCUGCCCUUCAGAGGGGGACAACAGUUGGAAACGACUGCUAAUACCGCAUACUGAAGGAGGGGAUUGCGUCUGAUUAGCUAGUUGGAGGGGUAACGGCCCACCAAGGCGAUGAUCAGUCGACGGUCGGAGAGGAGGAGCGGCCAGAUUGGGACUGAGACACGGCCCAGACUCCUACGGGAGGCAGCAGGGGGGAAUCUUCCGCAAUGGAAGAAAGUCUGACGGAGUAACGCCGCGUGAGUGAUGACGGCCUUCGGGUGGUAAAGCUCUGUUAAUCGGGACGCGGUACCGGAAUAGAAAGCCACGGCUAAAUACGUGCCAGCCGCCGCGGUAAUAC